rnacentral:rRNA from 1 species
CCUACGGGUGACAGCAGUGAGGAAUAUUGGUCAAUGGACGGGAGUCUGAACCAGCCAUGCCGCGUGCAGGAAGACGGCUCUAUGAGUUGUAAACUGCUUUUGUACAAGGGUAAACCUGAAUACGUGUAUUCAGCUGAAAGUACUGUACGAAUAAGGAUCGGCUAACUCCGUGCCAGCAGCCGCGGUAAUACGGAGGAUCCAAGCGUUAUCCGGAUUUAUUGGGUUUAAAGGGGGCGUAGGUGGAUUGAUAAGUUAGAGGUGAAAUGUUCGGGCUCAACUCGGGAACUGCAUUUAAUACUGUUGAUCUAGAGAACAGAAGCGGUAGGCGGAAUGUAUGGUGUAGCGGUGAAAUGCUUAGAGAUCAUACAGAACACCGAUUGCGAAGGCAGCUUACCAAUCUAUAUCUGACGUUGAGGCACGAAAGCGUGGGGAGCAAACAGGAUUAGAUACCCUAGUAGUC